GGGCAAGUGGUGGAAUGGUAGACACGCUAGUCUUAGGAACUAGUGCCUCCGGGCGUGCUGGUUCGAGUCCAGUCUUGCCCA
rnacentral:tRNA from 1 species